UACGUAGGGUGCGAGCGUUGUCCGGAAUUACUGGGCGUAAAGAGCUCGUAGGUGGUUUGUCGCGUUGUCCGUGAAAACUCACAGCUUAACUGUGGGCGUGCGGGCGAUACGGGCAGACUGGAGUACUGCAGGGGGAGACUGGAAUUCCUGGUGUAGCGGUGGAAUGCGCAGAUAUCAGGAGGAACACCGGUGGCGAAGGCGGGUCUCUGGGCAGUAACUGACGCUGAAGCGCGAAAGCUAGGGGAGCGAACGGG
rnacentral:rRNA from 1 species